rnacentral:rRNA from 1 species
CGGGACACGUGGUAUCCUGUCUGAAUAUGGGGGGACCAUCCUCCAAGGCUAAAUACUCCUGACUGACCGAUAGUGAACCAGUACCGUGAGGGAAAGGCGAAAAGAACCCCGGCGAGGGGAGUGAAAAAGAACCUGAAACCGUGUACGUACAAGCAGUGGGAGCCUCUUAAUGGGGUGACUGCGUACCUUUUGUAUAAUGGGUCAGCGACUUAUAUUCUGUAGCAAGGUUAACCGAAUAGGGGAGCCGAAGGGAAACCGAGUCUUAACUGGGCGUUAAGUUGCAGGGUAUAGACCCGAAACCCGGUGAUCUAGCCAUGGGCAGGUUGAAGGUUGGGUAACACUAACUGGAGGACCGAACCGACUAAUGUUGAAAAAUUAGCGGAUGACUUGUGGCUGGGGGUGAAAGGCCAAUCAAACCGGGAGAUAGCUGGUUCUCCCCGAAAGCUAUUUAGGUAGCGCCUCGUGAAUUCAUCUCCGGGGGUAGAGCACUGUUUCGGCAAGGGGGUCAUCCCGACUUACCAACCCGAUGCAAACUG